rnacentral:rRNA from 1 species
AGGUGGUCAGGUAGAGAAUACCAAGGCGCUUGAGAGAACUCGGGUGAAGGAACUAGGCAAAAUGGUGCCGUAACUUCGGGAGAAGGCACGCUGGCAUGUAGGUGAAGUCCCUUGCGGAUGGAGCUGAAGCCAGUCGAAGAUACCAGCUGGCUGCAACUGUUUAAUAAAAACACAGCACUGUGCAAACACGAAAGUGGACGUAUACGGUGUGACGCCUGCCCGGUGCUGGAAGGUUAAUUGAUGGGGUCAGCCGCAAGGCGAAGCUCUUGAUCGAAGCCCCAGUAAACGGCGGCCGUAACUAUAACGGUCCUAAGGUAGCGAAAUUCCUUGUCGGGUAAGUUCCGACCUGCACGAAUGGCGUAAUGAUGGCCAGGCUGUCUCCACCCGAGACUCAGUGAAAUUGAACUCGCUGUGAAGAUGCAGUGUACCCGCGGCAAGACGGAAAGACCCCGUGAACCUUUACUAUAGCUUGACACUGAACAUUGAGCCUUGAUGUGUAGGAUAGGUGGGAGGCUUUGAAGCGUGGACGCCAGUCUGCGUGGAGCCAUCCUUGAAAUACCACCCUU